AGUGAACGCUGGCGGCAGGCCUAAUACAUGCAAGUCGAACGGCAGCACAGCAGAGCUUGCUCUGUGGGUGGCGAGUGGCGGACGGGUGAGGAAUACAUGGGAAUCUGCCCAGUCGUGGGGGAUAACGUAUGGAAACGUACGCUAAUACCGCAUGCGCCCUACGGGGGAAAGCCGGGGACCGCAAGACCUCGCGCUAUUGGAGCGGCCGAUAUCAGAUUAGCUAGUUGGUGGGGUAAAGGCCUACCAAGGCAACGAUCUGUAGUUGGUCUGAGGGGACGACCAGCCACACUGGGACUGAGACACGGCCCAGACUCCUACGGGAGGCAGCAGUGGGGAAUUUUGGACAAUGGGCGCAAGCCUGAUCCAGCAAUGCCGCGUGCAGGAAGAAGG
rnacentral:rRNA from 1 species